GACGAACCGUGCGAACGUUGUUCGGAAUAACUGGGCUUAAAGGGAGCGUAGGCGGGCUAACAAGUCUGGGGUGAAAUCCCGCGGCUCAACCGUGGAACUGCCUUAGAUACUGUCGGCCUCGAGGGAGAUAGGGGCAUGCGGAACUAACGGUGGAGCGGUGAAAUGCGUUGAUAUCGUUAGGAACUCCGGUGGCGAAAGCGGCGUGCUGGAUCUCUUCUGACGCUGAGGCUCGAAAGCUAGGGGAGCAAAC
rnacentral:rRNA from 1 species